CCAAUUGAAAUUACUUGAAGAGCAAACUGAAGAAGUAUCUGAAACUUCAGAGCAGCACUACUCCAACAUGGAAAUUACUCUUAAUGUUGAAUUUUUUUGCUCCAGGGCCUGUUCCAUUAGAAGUCAGAUGGUUAAAUCUGUAAUUUGAUUCCCACCCCGGAGAAGUGUUGGUCUCGGAGUAUUGAUUUAGUGUGUCUGUAACAUUGUAAAUGAGUGUGAUGUAAGCUGUAAGUUGUAUUAGUUUUUCUGUAACUCUGCAUUUUUUUCCUUGUUACUAUUUGUUUUCUGGUCUCGGACCAUAAUAAACUUAAUCUUCAUCCAUC